AGGGCGCAUGCGCGGGCGUGAAGGGGGAGCAGGAGAGGCCCGCGGUGUCUUCCGGGGGGGAGGGGUGGCGAGGCGAGGCGCGGCCUGGCGGCCGUGCACGCGCUCUGCUGGGCACGUGGGGCCCCUUCGUCCCCGGCGUCCGGGCGCCUCGUACCAGCCCCCACCUUGGCCUCCGUCCGGUGGCUGCGUCCGCUACGCAGAAAGACUGGAGAGUCACCCAGCCCACCGAGUGACGCUCGGGCUUGUUGAGCAAGACAAACCUAGAGAGAUGAAGUGACUGACCCAAGGUUACACAGAAUGGAAUCUUUAUCUUCUGAUGUCCCUACUGUAAACCUUGUAUUGAAAGAAAACGAAGAAAUGAAGUUCUAGAAUCAAAUCCAAACUGCUCAGGGAACUGAAACCUAGGGUUUCUCAGGAUGAUCAUAUUUUAGAGUUGGAAGAACCUUGGAAGUGUUUUAACAGGGUUUCCUUUCCCUGACCUGCUGCCCACUCCCACCACAGACAGGUGGUAACAUGGUUGCUAACACCUAACACCAUGCUUCAGAAUGUGAUUGCUUAACCUUGGGUGCCAUCUUUAGGAUACGUGUCACUCGACACGUGCAGAUAGCACAGGAGGUGCAUGCUUCAGCCCAGUACCGCUGCGUGAGUUCACCUUGCAGCUCGUACUCUCUAAUUUUGGGGAGGGAGAAAUGAAGACUGAACGAGCUUCAUGUGAAGUACUCAAGGCAUCCUCCCCCAGGCUUUUCCAAACUUUUCUCACGAGUGUCAGAAGAAAGAGCAUUCCCCCUGGAAAACCAGGCUGCUCAGAGUCACUGGACCAAACGAGGAGGCUGGAGAGAGUCUUACCAGCAACCUAGACUUUAGACAAGUCUUUCCUGACCAAAGAAAGCCAGUACCAGUUCAGAUGCCACAAAGGAAGGUCGUGGUCACACCCUUCUGUCCCUGUGAGUUACACAGAAGCCCAGAAUGCUGGCCAAAGACCCAGAGCAGCAGCCUUCCCAGCUACGGCACUCUGGGCGAAGGGCAUGAGAAGACCAGGAAGCUCUUGGGACCUGAAGACUGCUGUAACAAAGACUACUUUAAGGAGUCAUCACUGCUCCCGUCUCUUACUGUGGCACCGGAAGAGGCCCCCAGGGAUGGAAGUUUUGAACUCACUAGGUGAUUAUGGUUGUUGAGUCUGCCUGGAGCCCACACAGAAAGCUUCUCACUCGGGAUUAGCAUUGCUUUGAAGAAGAUGGACACCAAGCAGGUUUGCUGGGGUUAAAGAGAUACUGAAGGUCUUGGCACUCAUUCCAAACAGCUUUGGGGACCCACUGCAUCAUCGGUCACUGUCCCUGGUCCUGAGCAGCCUUUGCAAUCCUUGUAGGUGUUUACUUCUCUGACACCUCAUUUUUAGCCAUGCUGUCACCAAAGGCUCACUCUGUUAAGACCCAACAGACAUCUGGUGAGACCAGACUUUAAUUCUUGAGGGUUUUUGUGUUUUUUUUUGUUGUGGUUUGUUUGUUUGUUUGUUUUGAGACAGAAUCUCAAAAAAUGUACCUUGAAUCUCUUGGAUGAUGGGAUUCCAGGCAUACAAGAGAUGAGUCUGGGGAAUGACCGAGAAACACCACAGGUUAGGCAUCAGGACCCCACCUGUCUGCUGCAAUUCCUCCAGCUGAAGUGUCUGGAGGGAGUGGGGAGAGGGCAGGACUCAGGGACAGGUGGCUCAGCUAGAGUUACUCUGUCUUCAAAGGGAAGGUGGUUGGGUCAGGGGACUGCUGUAGAGGGGAUGAGGAGGACAGGAGGGAGGGUCGGAUCAGGGGACUGCUGUAGAGGGAUGAGAAGAGGAGGGAGAGUCGGAUCGGGGGCUGCUGUAGAGGGGAUGAGGAAGACCCUGUGGGCAGUGCUUCUUUACUGCUCUCUAGCUCUGUCUCUCACUAACUUAGAGAGCCAACCCCAAAGAACAUCAGAAAGAAAGAAAAUCUACGUGGUCUAGAAACAUAAGAAAAUAUGUUAUUAGCAAAUAAGCAAAUGAAUCUUCUAAUACCCAACCUCUAGGCUUGAGAGGAGAAAAAAGGCUUGAAGAGGUCUUAGUCCUGAUGCCCCGCAGAGGGACCCCUGGGCACAGAUAGCGGGCUCUCUUCCAGCCCAUCCUCUUCUGUACAGGUGUGAACUAAUGCUUUCCCCUGUCAGGCAAGGUUCCUGCCCCACCUCACUGUCACGACAGGUACCAAAUGUGAGGUGCUAAGGUGUCUGACCUCUUACUCAGACCUCCCCUGCCUUUCCCUUAGCCAGCAGCUGGCAGGGGCUUCGCUUACUAGGUGUAGGCUUCUGGAGUCUCUCUGUGCCUUCUGCUUCACCUCUUCCUCAUCUGUGUUGUUUAGGAUUUUAUGAUUCUGUAUUCUGUGAGCAGUGAAUAGGAGGAUAGGUGUGUUGGAAAUACCCCAGGAACCUGGGACAGGAAAGGAAGGUCUCCAUCAGUGGGCGUCACAUGUCUGGUUGCAGGACCACCCUUCAUAGUUUUAUUGGGGUACAACCAACAUACAGCAAACACUGUGUACUUAAUGUGUGCAGCCACAGUCCUGUCCUGCCGUCUCCAUAAUCUAAAGAUACCAUAUGUACUCAGCACACCACAAAAUGCCAAGUUCUUUCUGUUUGGCGGGCCAGAAACUUCAGGUGAUAGGCAUCCUCUGCAUGUAUUUUAAAGUGCACAAUACUGUUCUGUGAGUUCU